rnacentral:rRNA from 1 species
UACGAAGGGGGCGAGCGUUGUUCGGAAUUACUGGGCGUAAAGAGCUCGUAGGCGGUUUGUCGCGUCUGCUGUGAAAACUCGGGGCUUAACCCCGGGCCUGCAGUGGGUACGGGCAGACUAGAGUGCGGUAGGGGAGACUGGAAUUCCUGGUGUAGCGGUGAAAUGCGCAGAUAUCGGGAAGAACACCCGUGGCUAAGGCGGCUCUCUAGUACGGUACUGACGCUGAGACGCGAAAGCGUGGGGAGCGAACAGG